rnacentral:rRNA from 1 species
CGAUGGGCCGACGUCGCAUGCUCCCGGCCGCCAUGGUUAGAGUUUGAUCAUGGCUCAGGAUGAACGCUAGCGGGAGGCCUAAUACAUGCAAGUCGAACGGCAGCGGGUGUAGCAAUACAUGCCGGCGAGUGGCGCACGGGUGAGUAACGCGUACGCAACCUACCCCCUACCGGGGAAUACCCACGGGAAACUGUGAAUAAUUCCGUAUGAGGUUGAGCUACCGCAUGGUGGCUUUACCAAAGUCUCCGGGCGGUAGGGGAUGGGCGUGCGUCUGAUUAGGUAGUUGGUAGGGUAACGGCCUACCAAGCCUGCGAUCAGUAGGGGGUGUGAGAGCAUGGCCCCCCACACGGGUACUGAGACACGGACCCGACUCCUACGGGAGGCAGCAGUAAGGAAUAUUGGACAAUGGGCGAAAGCCUGAUCCAGCCAUGCCGCGUGAAGGAUGAAGGCGCUCAGCGUUGUAAACUUCUUUUGGAUGGGAACAAUAACCACGACUUGUCGUGACUUGAGGGUACCAUCAGAAUAAGCACCGGCUAACUCCGUGCCAGCAGCCGCGGUAAUACGGAGGGUGCAAGCGUUAUCCGGAAUCACUGGGUUUUAAGGGUGCGUAGGCGGUCUAAUAAGUCAGUCGUGAAAUCGCUGGGCUCAACCCAUGCAAUUGCGAUUGAUACUGUUAGACUUGAAUGGGGUUGAGGCUGGCGAAAUGCGACAUGUACCGUUGAAAUGCUUAAAAAUGUCCAAAACACCGAUUGCGAAGGCACCAACUUGGCCUUUUUUGACGCUGAAGCC